rnacentral:rRNA from 1 species
UAGGGAAUCUUCCACAAUGGACGCAAGUCUGAUGGAGCAACGCCGCGUGAGUGAAGAAGGUCUUCGGAUCGUAAAGCUCUNUUGUUGGUGAAGAAGGAUAGAGGCAGUAACUGGUCUUUAUUUGACGGUAAUCAACCAGAAAGUCACGGCUAACUACGUGCCAGCAGCCGCGGUAAUACGUAGGUGGCAAGCGUUGUCCGGAUUUAUUGGGCGUAAAGCGAGCGCAGGCGGAAUGAUAAG